CCAGACUCCUACGGGAGGCCGCAGUGGGGGCUCUUGCACAAUGGGGGACCCCCUGAUGCCGCGCCGCCGCGUUCGUGCCGAAGUAAUUCGUUACGUAAAGCUCUCUCAGCAGGGCCGCCCCUGACGGUCCCUGCCUAAGAAGCCCCGGCUAACUACGUGCCCGCAGCCGCGGUCCUACGUAGGGGGCACGCGUUAUCCGGCCUUCCUGGGGGUAAAGGGAGCGCAGACGGCAUGGCAAGUCUGGAGUGAAAGCCCGUGGCUUAACCACGGGACUGCUCUGGAAACUGUGCAGCUAGAGGGCAGGAGAGGCAGGCGGAAUUCCUAGGGGAGCGGUGAAAGGCGGAGAUAUACGGAGGAACACCAGUGGAGAAGGCGGCCUGCGGGGAAUUAACUGACGCGGAGGCGCGAAAGCGGGGGGAGCAAACAGGAUUAGAUACCCUUGUA
rnacentral:rRNA from 1 species